UUUGAGUAAAUUAUAUAAAAGAAUGGUCUCUUACAGUAUCAACACAAAAAACAGCAUCGUUAUUAAAAUCUCUAUUGAGAACUACGUGUUUACUGCAUAUUCUCUAGAAUUUUUUAAAAGACAGAAAAUAAGGAUCUUGUAUUUCAUGUAUAUCAUACUAGGUGGUUAAAAGCGGGGAGGGGGGAGUCAUAAUACUUCUGACUCAGAGUCUUCUGAAAUCUAAUACAGAAAUCACAGCUAAACAAAUAAAUGUAGGACCAACAAUGCCAACAGCGCAUAUAUUGUCCGCAUCACUCCUGGUCUUCAUGAAUAUCUUUAAUCUAAAACAGCAUCUAAAAUCAGUCAAAUCAGAAAGACCUUGCUUCACCAUCUACAUUUUACUCUCUGUUCCUUCAUUAUAGCUAUACAAAAACCAAUUAUGAAAAAGUGAAAAGACUACUUCUUUUCUGCUAUUAACAUCUUUUCAGUAAUUUUUUAUCCCUGAUUUGAAAAUUUCUUCCCACUGCUUGUGCUUCCUUUAGUCAUAAUAAGGAAUCCAAUUCAGAGAGAGCACACAGCUUUUAAGUAAAACUGUAGAUACUACUAUUGCAAACAAUCUAGCAAAACAAAGAAGAUUAUUCAGUAUAAUUCUCUUUUACCUGUUGAUCUUUCCUGAAUAACUAUUGCUUUCCCAUGCUAGGUCAGACUUUUAAAACUUGAUGUUAACUUGUGAUACUAAAUCUAAACUUACAGUUCUUUUUAGGAGAUGCAGAAUUUGUGGGUUUUGUAGGGUUUUGUUUGUUUUUGUUGUUGCCACAGUCUUAUAAUAUGGUUCAAUUGAAAGAAUAUUCUCUCUAUCUCCUCUUUUUUUUCAGUCAUCAUGUUGCAAUAUUCAGAUUGUUCACAUUUGCCUCAAACAUACGGUUUGCUUGAUUAGAUGAUAAAAUAAGAAAAUGUUCCAUAGAUCAUAGCAUAGCCUGCUUCAAUCCUGUCCUGUUAGUUUACUUCUACCUUUCUGUUCUCUACUUCUGAAAUUGUGUUUAUUCUGAAAUGUUAUAUUUAUUAUAAAUCUGUUUAUCUUAUUUGCAGAAUCAACUAAUUACAACCCAUCAAAUUAAACUUCAUCACAAACUUUUUUUUCUUUUCAGGGAAAAGGAUACUGUUGUAUAUAGACAGCUGUGAUUUUUAAUCCAUGUUUGACAUUACAUUCAACAUUUUACUCUCAAUUCAGUGUGUUUUGACAGCAGCAGAAAUUGCAUGAUACAUCUGCAGAGAUGCAUUUCUGUGUUACAAAUGUGUUUUUUAAUGUGUUAUAUUUUCAUGACUGAGCUCGUGACUGAGUCAUGACUGAGCUCCUUUUGCACUUAGCAGUUUAGUAAUUAUGAUCAAACUCUGACCCUUGUAGCGAUGCGCUUUGCAUUUUUAUGAUUCUUUUUCACAUGAUUUCGAUGCCCUGUUGUGUUUUUUUUUAAAUUCUUGAGUCCCACAACAGUAGCAAAGCAUCAAUCCUUCAUAAUUUUGUCAACAUAGGUUACAGAAGUAAAAGUUAUUAAUUAAGAGACAAUUCCUGUUCACACAUCUUCAGAAUGAUAGGGGAACUGGGAGGAAGACCUCUUAGCACAUAGGUUGCAAACGUACAGAGUUAGACAAGUGUGGGCAAAACUUUCACUGAAACUCACGAGCUGUCUGUCUGCAUCAAGCUAUCUGUAGCUCAGAGAUGUAAAUAUAUACAUAUACACACAUAUGAUUGGUCUUGAUGCAUUAAUUUUGCAUAAACUAGGAAGGACCUUUACACAUUUUCUUUGUUUUUCUAUUUUGUUUUUCCAUUACAUUUAAUUUUCACUGGCUAUUUUUCCAGUUAGAGGCAGUCAUAAGGUAAUUAUUUUAAAAAUUUUUAGCAGGAGCUGCUGUCUUGUCUACAUUGUAACAUGUCUCAUAAGGUUUUAUUCCAGCAAAGCACCCUGAUACCAAUUUCAGUGGAAAAGAAAGUAAGCAAACAUAAAUAACUGAAGUUCAGUGAUUAGUUUUUUGCUUUUUUUUAUUAUUAUUUUAUUUCAAAGUUCAACAUGCAUUUACGUUCUUUUUUCUAGGGGUGAAUGAAUAAAUACCAAGAAAAUCAGAUGUAUGUGAUUUAUUGGUAAGAACACUGAAAUGUAAACUAAAAUAAUUUUUGAGUAGAAGGCAAGAGGCAUAGUAUUAUUAAAGGAACUGUAACUCUUUGUCAGACACAAAAGAAUAAGACCCCAAAAUAUUUAAAUAUGAAAUUUUAGAAAGCCCUGGAAAGGAG
ensembl:lncRNA